AGCAUGUUAGCUCAGGGGAAGAGCGCCGGGCUCAUAACCCGGAGGUAAGCUUAUCUAUCUUUAUUCAAUUAAAAUUAAUUACCUAACAAACAAUAGGUCCCUGGAUCGAAACCAGGACAUGCUA
rnacentral:tRNA from 1 species